rnacentral:rRNA from 1 species
CGGGGAAUUUUGGACAAUGGACGCAAGUCUGAUCCAGCCAUGCCGCGUGCGGGAAGAAGGCCUUCGGGUUGUAAACCUCUUUUGUCAGGGAAGAAACGAGUUUCUCUAAUACAGAGACUUAAUGACGGUACCUGAAGAAUAAGCACCGGCUAACUACGUGCCAGCAGCCGCGGUAAUACGUAGGGUGCAAGCGUUAAUCGGAAUUACUGGGCGUAAAGCGUGCGCAGGCGGUUAUGCAAGACAGAUGUGAAAUCCCCGGGCUCAACCUGGGAACUGCAUUUGUGACUGCAUGGCUAGAGUACGGUAGAGGGGGAUGGAAUUACGCGUGUAGCAGUGAAAUGCGUAGAUAUGCGGAGGAACGCCGAGGGCGAAGGCAAUCCCCUGGGCCUGCACUGACGCACAUGCACGAAAGCGUGGGGAGCAAA